AUGGCGCAUGCAAGAAUUGAGCUACCUUCAGCGACUCCAGUCGCAAAGGCUUUCAUCCACCUCGAUGAGCCAAAAGCACACGCUCUUCUCGGCGAUGGCUCCGGGAAGGACAAGACUACAGGGUGGUGCCUCGACACCGGCGCCACCCACCACAUGACCGGUCGAAGGGAAUUCUUCGCCGAGCUCAACUCCGAUGCGCGAGGCUCCGUGAAGUUCGGGGAUACCUCCGCUAUAGAGAUAAAGGGCGUCGACUCCGUCAUCUUCGCCACCAAGACGGGAGAGCACCGGCUGCUCACUGGUGUCUACUACAUCCCCGCGCUAAGGAACUCCAUCAUCAGCUUGGGACAGCUCGAUGAGAACGGCUCACGCGUACUGAUUGAGCAUGGGGUCCUACGCAUCUGGGAUCGCCAGCGUCGCCUUCUCGCCAAGGUGCCCAAAGGUGAAAAUCGACUCUACGUCCUUGAUGUGCAGGUGGCACAACCGGUCUGUCUCGCUGUCCGUUGGGACGACGAGGCGUGGCAGUGGCAUGAGUGCUUUGGGCACCUUCAUUUUGAGGCCCUGAAGCGUCUAAGUGCCAAGGAGAUGGUGCGAGGCCUGCCAUGCCUCGACCAUGUGGAGCAGUUUUGCGACAUCUGCGUGCUGACGAAGCAGAGACGACUCCCCUUUCCUCAACAGGCGAGUUUUCGGGCCAAGGAGAAGUUGGAGCUCAUGCACGGAGACCUGUGCAGCCCAGUGACGCCAGCCACACCAGGAGGUCGACGCUACUUCCUGCUGCUCGUCGACGAUCUCUCCCGCUACAUGUGGGUGAUGAUCCUCGGCAGUAAGGGAGAAGCGGCGGACGCCAUCAGGCGCGCGCAAGUUGGUGUGGAGGCGGAGAGCGGUCGCAAAUUGCGCGUGUUGCACACUGACAAUGGCGGCGAGUUCACGGCGGCUAAAUUCGCGUCGUACUGCGCCGAUGAGGGCAUCCAGCGCCACUACUCCGCGUCGUACAACCCGCAGCAAAACGGCGUCAUCGAGCGGCGCAACCAGACGGUUGUGGGGAUGGCUCGGGAUCUCCUCAAGCAGAGAGGGAUGCCGACUGUCUUCUAG
rnacentral:rRNA from 1 species